rnacentral:rRNA from 1 species
UACGGAGGGGGCAAGCGUUGUUCGGAGUUACUGGGCGUAAAGCGCACGUAGGCGGUGCGGUAAGUCAGGGGUUAAAGGCUGCAGCUCAACUGCAGUAAGGCCUUUGAUACUAUCGUGCUAGAGUGUCAGAGAGGAUGGCGGAAUUCCCGGUGUAGCGGUGAAAUGCGUAGAUAUCGGGAGGAAGGCCGGUGGCGAAGGCGGCCAUCUGGCUGAUAACUGACGCUGAGGUGCGAGAGCGUGGGGAGCAAACAGG